CCGCGAGGGAGAGCGUGGGCUCAGCGCGUGGCGCCUGGAGCGUCUGACUAGAACAGAGUUGGGGGAGAGGGUGGAAAUCCCCGGAAAAAAAAAGCCACGUCCCCUCAGAGGAACUGAAGAAGACUACUCGAAGAAACUGAGGCAGAGAGCCAGAUGUGUAGCGAACGAGUGCCUUCCUCCGGAGACCCGCCCCUUUGGCUUGGAGGCUCCGGGCGUACAGCACCUUUUGCCCCGCCGGAGUCAGCCUAGAGGGGCGCCCUACCCACCUCCUACACACUCCCCAAACUCCCCGGGCAAGCUGUCCUGACUUCCAGUCUCCGGUCAAAGCGCUCGGAUUCCGCCUUUUCGCCACUAACUUCCUGCCGCUGGCUGCCUCCCGUGAGAACCUGCUGGAGCGUGACGUCACUCAGCCCCGUGACUGUACGUUGCUCCUGGCCAGGUGGCCGAAACCUGAAACAACUGUCUUCAAGUAAAGGUGUACUCUCGGCCCAUCGCUGGGACCCUGGAAUUGGAGGACGGCGUGGGAUUCCCUUUAUUUAUUCUACAAGGAGCCAUGAAGCACCUACUGUGUGUCAACGCAGUAAAUAGGCAUUAAGUGCCUAGUGUGUGUUCAUUUAAAAAAGAAGUUCCUACCAAUUGCCACGCCCUGUCCCAAAUACAGAACUGUUUUCAGCGGUGACAGGAUCUCAGAAUUCAGGCACUGCCUUCUCUCCCUUAGAAGACUGGAUGCAACCAACAUCCUACCCUGCCUUUGUGCAUGGCUGUCCUGCCCUCGCUGCCCGAUGACCAGCGAGCCCAGGUUGGGCCCUGCCUGGCAAGUUGGAACCAAUACUCUAUCUGGUUCUUUUCUUUUUCUUUUUGAGAGAGAGAGAGAGAGAAACAUUGAUUUGUUGUUCUGCUUAUUUAUGCAUUCAUUGUUUGAUUCUUGUAUGUCCCCUGACUAGAAUCAAACCCACAACCUUGGCAUAUCUGGACCCAUGCUCUAACCAAUUGUGCUACCUGACCAGGGUUCAUUGGUUGAUUCUUGUAUGUGCUUGACCAGAGAUGGAACCCGAAACUUUGGUGUGCUGGGACAAUGCUCUAACCAACUGAACACCCUGCCAGGCCCUCUAUCUGGCUCUUGUUGACUCCUUUCCCUCACUCAGCCUUUUAGGAGAGUACUGCUUGUGAAAAUGCAUAUAUAACCUGUUUAUAUGUUCAUUUACCGAAUACACUGAACAUCUGUGUCCAGUAUGUACCGGACACUAUUCUAAAGGAUAGAGACAAAUCAAGGAACAGAACAGGCAAAACUUCCUGUCCUACCAAGCUGAUGUUCUACUGGGUGUGUGCAGAAUAUCCAGAAUAUUGCAAGAAGAAAAAAUUGGUAAAUUUCCUGGAAGAGGAACUUAAAGAUGGAGACAGGGCAUGCAUGGGACAGAGGCUGAUUUCACUCUCUGAAUUCUUUUCACCAUUGUAACAUAUGCAUAUUAUUGUAACAUCUUGUUUUUAAGAUUUUACUUAUUCAUUUUUUAGAGAGAGGGGGAGGGAGGGAGAAAGAGAGGGAGAGAAACAUGGAUGUGUGAGAGAUACAUGCAUCAGUUUUCUCUGGCCUGUCCCCAACUGGGGACCUGGCCCAGGACCCAGGCAUGUGCCCUGACUGGGAAUCAAACUGGUGACCUUUUGGUUCACAGGUUCAAUCUGAACGGCACCAGCCAGGGCUUGUAACAUGUUUAAUCAUUCCAAUAAUAAAUUAAAUUUAAAAAUUAAGCCUGCUUGAUUCCCAGACAGGGCAAUAAAAGGAAGGGAAAGGACAGGCGCACUCUUCUACGUGUGCAUUAUACUUCAAAAAAGCAAAAUGAUGUAAAGAUAUCUCCAUGCCCACAUUUACUGCAGCAUUAUUCACAAUAGCCAAGACAUGGGGACAACCUGUGUUCUCCAUGGGAUGAACGGAUAAAGAAAGUGUGAUGUAUGUAUAUGGAUAUAUAUGUCCAUAUAUAUAAUUUUCCACUUAUAAUUCCACAUAUACAAAAUAUACAGGGCCUGGCAGAAGUAAUACCUGCUUGAGUGUGGUUGGUAGGGUAAUAAUAUGGGUGUAAUAAUUUAUAGUUUUCAUUUGAACAUUUCACCUAAAAUGUCAUAUGGUGUGUUUGAGUGUGAUAUUGUGUUACAGAACUACAUGCUUAUGAUUUGGUAAUAAAACAGGAGUGUCACUUGUGCCAGACCCUGUAUAUAAUGGAAUAUUAUACAGCCUUGAAAAAGGAGAAGACCCUGUCAUUUGCAACAUGGGUGGACCUUGAGGGCAUUAUGCUGAGUGAAAUAAACCACAGAGAAAGAUAAAUAGUGCAUGGUAUCACUUCUAUAUGGAAUCUAAAGAGUGAAGUCGAACUCAUAGAAACAGUAGGAAAGUGGUUGCUGGGGCUGGAGUCCAGGAAAUAGGGAGAGGUUAGCAAACGGAUACAAACUCUCAGCAAUAAGAUAAAUAGGGUUUCAGAAUCUAACGUGAAACAUGGUGACUAUAGUUACUAAUACUUAUGCUAUAAUUGAAAUUUGCUGGAGUAGGACUUACCUAUUCACACAUACACAUACACCCCACACACAAAAACACAGAUAAAUAUGUGAAGUGAUGGAUGUGUUCAUUAACUCAGUGGGGGAAUUUUUCAGAAUGUAUACAUGUAUCAAAUCACUAUGAAAUGUGCUUUAAAUAUCUUAGAGUUUUAUAUGUCAAUGAUAUCUCAAUAAAGCUGAGAUUGAAAAAAAUGAAAGCUGCUUCAUACUCAGACAGUGCAACCAAUAAAAAAGAGGUAGGUGUACCUGUCUGGUGUGGCUCAGUGGAUUGAUUGCUGGCCUGCAAACCAAAAAGUGGCCAGUUGGAUUCUCAGUCUAGGGCACGCAUCCGGGUUUCAAGCCAGCUUCCCAGUAGGGG